GCAAGAAUAGCAAAGAGGCUAAUGCAGAAGGCCUAAGACCUUCCUAUCAAAGGUUCAAAUCCUUUUUCUUGCU
rnacentral:tRNA from 1 species